rnacentral:rRNA from 1 species
AUGCCUUCUCUCACAAGCCCAUGGCUUCGUCUCCUAGUGCUUCUCGUGGCCAUGACCACCUUCCUGCAGCAUGCCCUCGCGGCGGCCGGUGGCAGUGGGAACCCCACCGCCGGGUUCCAGAAAGUGCAGCUCCCCGACGGCGACUUCCAGGUGCAGAGCCCAUACAACAUGCCGGAGAACCAGCGGUUCCGGUACCGCGACGGCUUGCGGACGUUCUGGGUUCAUCGCAACGACAAGCCCUUCAACACCGCCACCCACACCAACCCGCGCUCCGAAGUCCGGCUACGUGAUGACUUUGAAGUACCGCUAUAA